GUGAACGCUGGCGGUAGGCCUAACACAUGCAAGUCGAACGGCAGCACAGUAAGAGCUUGCUCUUACGGGUGGCGAGUGGCGGACGGGUGAGGAAUACAUCGGAAUCUACUUUUUCGUGGGGGAUAACGUAGGGAAACUUACGCUAAUACCGCAUACGACCUACGGGUGAAAGCAGGGGAUCUUCGGACCUUGCGCGAUUGAAUGAGCCGAUGUCGGAUUAGCUAGUUGGCGGGGUAAAGGCCCACCAAGGCGACGAUCCGUAGCUGGUCUGAGAGGAUGAUCAGCCACACUGGAACUGAGACACGGUCCAGACUCCUACGGGAGGCAGCAGUGGGGAAUAUUGGACAAUGGGCGCAAGCCUGAUCCAGCCAUACCGCGUGGGUGAAGAAGGCCUUCGGGUUGUAAAGCCCUUUUGUUCGGAAAGAAAAGCAGCAGGUUAAUACCCCGCUGUUCUGACGGUACCCAAAGAAUAAGCACCGGCUAACUUCGUG
rnacentral:rRNA from 1 species